rnacentral:rRNA from 1 species
GACGAACGCUGGCGGCGUGCCUAAUACAUGCAAGUAGAACGCUGAAGGAGGAGCUUGCUUCUCUGGAUGAGUUGCGAACGGGUGAGUAACGCGUAGGUAACCUGCCUGGUAGCGGGGGAUAACUAGUGGAAACGAUAGCUAAUACCGCAUAAGAGUAGAUGUUGCAUGACAUUUGCUUAAAAGGUGCACUUGCAUCACUACCAGAUGGACCUGCGUUGUAUUAGCUAGUUGGUGGGGUAACGGCUUACCAAGGCGACGAUACAUAGCCGACCUGAGAGGGUGAUCGGCCACACUGGGACUGAGACACGGCCCAGACUCCUACGGGAGGCAGCAGUAGGGAAUCUUCGGCAAUGGACGGAAGUCUGACCGAGCAACGCCGCGUGAGUGAAGAAGGUUUUCGGAUCGUAAAGCUCCGUUGUAAGAGAAGAACGAGUGUGAGAGUGGAAAGUUCACACUGUGACGGUAUCUUACCAGAAAGGGACGGCUAACUACGUG